UGAUGGGGUCUCCACCAAGCUUCCUUAUUUUGCCUCCGAGGGAACACAAGGAAAGAAGAUGUAGUUGGGUUUAGACAAAGUAAGUUUGGCCAAGGAACUCUGUGGUUAAUAACUGAUGAAAGGUAAAGAAGUUGUAAAAUUAACAUUUGAGUCAGAAUUCAUUACCGGAGAAUCAGACAAGGGGGAUGUGAACUGCUUUUGAUGGUAGUUUGUGUGUUUUAAUGACAUAAACCAUAUACAUUUCAUUUUGGUGGAUCAAGAAGCAUUUUUGAAAAAUAUGAGUGGCAGAAGAAGGGGUGUAUCUGUCUCUUUUGUCGAUGUGUUUAAAAUGCUGCAUUCUGAUCACAUCCACAAGGCAGAGUUCUCAACAGGGGGACAUAACCCCAUUCUCCCAGGUUGGAUGGGAAUGGGCAUUUUUGACAUUUCUCUGCCUGUUUGAAUGAAGUAAGGCACAGUAUUUCAAGAGUGUGGCUGGAGAUUUGGAUAUGAGGGAUAUCCCUAGAAUCAAGAGAAUUGUUCUGUAGUCCAUGUUCAAGUUCAUGUCCUAGCUCUUAACUGCUGGGUACCUUUGCUGGUACACAAAUUCCAGAGUCUCUCUCAGCCUCUAAUCCUUUACUUAUAAAAUAAGGAUGAUAAAGGUUGUUGGGUUGGGUCGUUGUGAGAUUCAGCGGAUGUAUAUCAAUGUGAAAGCACGUCCAGUUAAUUGUCAGCCCUGCACAGAUACUCGCUGUGAUGAUAGCACAGGAACGCAGUGGCUUGGUGGCAGUUCUGUCCUUCCUUGGCCGUGUGUUAAGAAUAUGGUCAGAGGUGACAGUCACAGAAGCUUUGUACUGUCUGCAGUGCUGUUUCCCUCCAGGGGUGAGUGCACAGAUACGCUGGUCUAAAGGUGAGUGGUAACUAUAGAAACCAUAUGUUGGGAUCAGGAGUCACUGAGAGCUUUAAUAAAAACCCAUAAUGUCAAUAUCAUGGACAGAAAAGAGAACAAUAAAUUUUAUGCUGAAUAGCCGGUGGAUGACAGAGUAAGGGCUUCUAUAGAGUCAGGACAGAACACAAUAAGAUUUCAAAAUGCCCUGGUGAGGCGAUGGCAUCAUACAAAUAAAACUUAAUAUUACUUGUGCAAAAACGAUUCUGGAAAUUUCUGUUAAAUAAUUUUUAAUAUAUCUUAAUAAAGCCUCUACCCACUUAUAUUAAAAAAUUAUUUCCAAAUCUUAUUCCACUUUUGCUGAGCAAGGUCAAUGAUAGCAAAUAUCUUUUAAUGGUACUGAAAUUUCUGUAUUUGAUUGUUUUCUAUGUAAUAUGUAAUUAAAAUUUCCCUGAUGCAGCCAUUUCUAUUAUAAAUGUAAAUUUAUAUCCAGAUAUAAUUUAUAAUUUCAGGGUUUAAGUUUCAUAUUAAAAUGCCUAAGGUUAGAAUGCUCCUAAAAUAUUAUUCAGUCAACAUGUCGGUGAACUGGUUUUAGACACUUCAGUUCUUUUUCUUAGGUUUGCCCACACGCCUUUCAUUUUCAGCGGCUAUCGCUGUGAAUUUUAUAUUUUGGUGUUUGUUUGUAAGAAAUUGGUUUCUUUUAUGCAGGAAUGAUGAGCUAAUAAGUUCAUAAAGCAAUAGAUAGUGGCUUUAGCAAAGUCUGUUUAUUAAUCUUAACAUUUAAUUUUGUGUCUGAAAAACCUAACGCCCCAUGAUGUGAGAAAUACCUGAGGACUGUGAUGCUGUGGAGCUCAAAGAAGCAGCUUUUGAGCUCCGGGCAUGUGGGCAGGGCUGCUUCUAGGGGCAGACACUGCACAAAUGGUAAGAACACUGCUCACUGGAGCUAUGCUGAUGGAUAUUGUAAUUAUUUCCAUUUUACAGUAAAAAUAGGAAGUGAUAGAGUCGGGCCUUAUAUGGUCUUCCAAUAAAUAAGGUGUCAUCUGGGUAAUUUGAAAUAGCAGCCACGAGUGAGUUAUAAACCUGCAACAAGACGAGUUGGCCAACAGUUAACAAACACUGCUCAACUUCCAGUUUUUUGAACCUGAUAUGAGAAUGCCCUGGCUUUAUCUUUGCUCCAAGUUCCCAGGCUAAACUAGCACUGAGUCACACUUUGCUUUGUCCAUAAACCUAAGCCGCAUUUCUGAUGGCUAAUCUUUCUCUGCCAGUUCCCGGUCAGAACGGAGCUGACCUUCCUGUUCCAUUGGAUCUUAAAAAUGAGAACUGAAAUUUGAGAGUUGAGAUAUAUGAAUGUAUUUAGAAGGAAACAUGAACUUGGCCUAAGAACAAACUGCAGCUGUAUCCACUUCUUUUUUCUUUUAAUUGUGUAACUAAUCCCUUAGUAAUACCAGGUCUACUGGGGCAAACCAUGUCUUUCUUCCAUAGGCAGUAGAGAGAUCUUCCGAGAGGUGUACUGACGCCUGAAUUGCAAACUCUUCUGGCCAUAAAUGAGUUGGCACAUAAACUCCUAGCACCCUGCUUAGUAUAUCUUUUCUGUAAAACAGCAAACUUCGUGUUAGCCCACUUGAGCUCAGCAUAGAUAGAUCUGUGAGAAGUCCCUUUUCAACUUUGUUGAAAAGCUGGAGUAGGAGGGGCCGUGCCGGAGGUAAGCAGCGUGGCACACGAGAUGACCAGAGGGAGAGACCCGUGAGGACGAGGGUGACAUCGGCUCCAUGAGGGCGUCCCUGCUUGGAAUGAAAGGUUGGAAAAUGUGUCUCCUUUCUUCUGAAAGGCAGAAGAAAGGAUUAGAAAGGUAUAAUGAAGAAAGGAUCUGUGUCCUAGAAGCAUCUCUACCUCGGUUUCUGCAGUAAAGUUCCUUUUGGUGAAAGUGUGUUGCCAGGAUGCACUCUCUUUGCGGAGAUAUUACUCAUUUUGGCUUCCUAAAUCCUUACGUUACUUAUGUGCUUCUCCAUGUAUUUGUAGCCAUCCGCUCUGGACACGCAGGUUGUAUACACACACAAAUCCUCAUAGCCAUACAUGCUCUGGACACGUAGGUUGUAUACACACACAGAUCCUCAUAGCCAUAUGCUCUGGACACGCAGGUUGUAUACACACACAGAUCCUCGUAGCCAUAUGCUCUGGACACGCAGGUUGUAUGCACACACAAAUCCCCGUAGCCGUACGCUCUGGACACGCAGGUUGUAUGCACACACAAAUCCCCGUAGCCAUACGCUCUGGACACGCAGGUUGUGUACACACACAAAUCCUCGUAGCCGUACGCUCUGGACACGCAGGUUGUAUACACACACAGAUCCUCGUAGCCGUACGCUCUGGACACGCAGGUUGUAUGCACACACAAAUCCCCGUAGCCAUAUGCUCUGGACACGCAGGUUGUGUAGACACACAAAUCCUCGUAGCCAUACGCUCUGGACACACAGGUUGUAUACACACACAAAUCCUCGUAGCCAUACGCUCUGGACACGCAGGUUGUAUACACACACAAAUCCUCGUAGCCAUACGCUCUGGACACGCAGGUUGUAUACACACACAGAUCCCCGUAGCCGUACGCUCUGGACAUGCAGGUUGUGUAGACACACAAAUCCUUGUAGCCAUACGCUCUGGACAUGCAGGUUGUAUACACACACAAAUCCUCGUAGCCAUACGCUCUGGACACGCAGGUUGCAUGCACACACAAAUCCCCGUAGCCGUACGCUCUGGACACGCAGGUUGUGUAGACACACAAAUCCUCAUAGCCAUACGCUCUGGACACGCAGGUUGUAUACACACACAAAUCCCCGUAGCCACACGCUCUGGACAAGCAGGUUGUAUACACACACAAAUCCCCGUAGCCAUAUACUCUGGACACGCAGGUUGUGUACACACAAAUCCCCAUAGCCAUAUGCUCUGGACACGCAGGUUGUAUGCACACACAAAUCCCCGUAGCCAUACGCUCUGGACACGCAGGUUGUAUGCACACACAAAUCCCCGUAGCCAUAUGCUCUGGACACGCAGGUUGUACACACACAAAUCCCCGUAGCCAUAUGCUCUGGACACGCAGGUUGUACACACACAAAUCCCCGUAGCCAUAUGCUCUGGACAUGCAGGUUGUAUACACACAAAUCCCUGUAGCCAUACGCUCUGGACACGCAGGUUCUGUACACACACAAAUCCUCGUAGCCAUACGCUC